GAGAAAGAUCCAGCAUUUCAAAUCACAGUCAGCGUGGGUCAAAGGAGGGGUAGCGAAGCAAAGAUAUUACAAAAUCUUUCUGCGCUCUGCAAUUUGCUUCAUUUUCUGGAUUCCAAUUUUAGACAUUAUUUCAUCAUAGAAAGCCAGAAGAUAAACCCAAUAAACUCAAGUCCUCUAUUGAUUUUUCCUCCUCUUCAGCAGUCGCUGUAUUUUGACUACAGCGUGGUGAAACGUUUAGCUAAGGAAACAGAAAAACAAGGAACAACCCCCUCCACUCCCGAGGCAAUAAAAUCAUCAUCAAUUCACUGAGACGAAUAAAUUUAUUCUCACCAAAGAACAAGUUAUUAAGGAUCCGCUGCAAGUAUCAGUCGGCCUACCCAGAGGUACAAGCACACCUUGGAGAUACUGCAGGUUCGGUUCUAGACCACUGCAAUUAAGCAACUAUUGCAAUAAAGAGAGUCAGGCAAUUUUUGUUGAUUUUAUAUGGAACCACAAGUAUAUGCUAUGCUGUGUCUGGCUUUUGGUUCAACAUUAUUUGUGAGACUCAUCCAUGUUAUUGUAAAUGUCAGUUGCUUAUUUUCAUUGUUUUUUAAUGUUUCACUGUACAAAUAGAUUGAAAUUGAUUAACCAUUCUUUCUAAUGGAAAUUUGAGUUGUUUCCAGUUUUUUGCGCAUCACACAUCAUAUUACUGUGAACGUUCUCAUAGUGUAUGCUACAGAUGUAACUGGAUGUUUCUGUCAGUCACGUGCCCAGGACUAGAAUUGCUGGUUAUAGGGUACGUAUCUUCUCAAUCUGGGGGAGAAACUCUUUUCCAAAGUGAUUGUUCAAACUUACAUUCCCUCAAGUGGUUCAAGAGAGCUCCAGUUUUCACAUCUUUGUCAGCAUUUAAAGUCUUUUACUUUAGACAGUCUAGUGGCUCUUAUUGUGAUUUUAUGUGCGUUUCCCUGAUUAGCAAUACUUUUGAACAUAUUUUCAUAGUUUAUUGGCCGUUUAAAUAUGCUCUUACAUAAAGGGCUGUUCAAAUAUUUUGCCUAGUUUUCUAUUAUUUUUUCUCUUAUGUAUCUGUAGCUGUUCUAAGCAUAUUUUAUAUUAGUCAUUUGUCAGUUGUAUGUGUGGAGAAUAUCUUUUUGCACAUUGGUUUGCCUUUUUACCCUCUUAAUGAUGUCAUUUGACAAAUAAUGUUCUUAAUGUUAAUGUAGUCCAAUUUAUCAAUCAUUUCUUUUAAGUUAAGUGUCUUUGUGUCCUGGUUGAGAACCCUUUGUUUACCCCAAGGUUAUAAAGACAGUUUCCUUUGUUGUCCCCUAGAAGCUUUUCUGUUUUACCUUUCAUAUUUAAAUCUAUAAUCCAGCUUGAAUUAAUUCUGUGUAUUGUGUGAGGUAAGGUACAGAUCAACAUUCAUUUUUACCAUAUGGAUAUUCAGUCAUUGCCCUAUCAGUAGUUAAUGAGAAGACUGUCCUUUUCCCACUGUUGGGCAGUGCCAUCUUUGCCAUUAACCAAUCACGUGUGUACACACAUACACACAUAUAUGUGAGUCAUUUUGUGAGUUCUUUAUUUGUGCCUUGUGCAAAUACAAUACUAUCUUAAUUACUGUAGCUUUCUAAAAAAUUAAUUAAUUAAUUAAUUUGACAUCAGACAGUGAUUGUCUUGGAUGUUUUCA
rnacentral:lncRNA from 1 species